GGGGUUGUGGCUCAGUGGUAGAGUGCUCACACUUAACAUGUGUGAGGCACUGGGUUCGAUCCUCAGCACCACA
rnacentral:tRNA from 1 species